rnacentral:rRNA from 1 species
GCUCAGGAUGAACGCUAGCUACAGGCUUAACACAUGCAAGUCGAGGGGCAGCAUGGUCUUAGCUUGCUAAGGCCGAUGGCGACCGGCGCACGGGUGAGUAACACGUAUCCAACCUGCCGUCUACUCUUGGACAGCCUUCUGAAAGGAAGAUUAAUACAAGAUGGCAUCAUGAGUCCACAUGUUCACAUGAUUAAAGGUAUUCCGGUAGACGAUGGGGAUGCGUUCCAUUAGAUAGUAGGCGGGGUAACGGCCCACCUAGUCUUCGAUGGAUAGGGGUUCUGAGAGGAAGGUCCCCCACAUUGGAACUGAGACACGGUCCAAACUCCUACGGGAGGCAGCAGUGAGGAAUAUUGGUCAAUGGGCGAGAGCCUGAACCAGCCAAGUAGCGUGAAGGAUGACUGCCCUAUGGGUUGUAAACUUCUUUUAUAAAGGAAUAAAGUCGGGUAUGGAUACCCGUUUGCAUGUACUUUAUGAAUAAGGAUCGGCUAACUCCGUGCCAGCAGCCGCGGUAAUACGGAGGAUCCGAGCGUUAUCCGGAUUUAUUGGGUUUAAAGGGAGCGUAGAUGGAUGUUUAAGUCAGUUGUGAAAGUUUGCGGCUCAACCGUAAAAUUGCAGUUGAUACUGGAUAUCUUGAGUGCAGUUGAGGCAGGCGGAAUUCGUGGUGUAGCGGUGAAAUGCUUAGAUAUCACGAAGAACUCCGAUUGCGAAGGCAGCCUGCUAAGCUGCAACUGACAUUGAGGCUCGAAAGUGUGGGUAUCAAACAGGAUUAGAUACCCUGGUAGUCCACACGGUAAACGAUGAAUACUCGCUGUUUGCGAUAUACUGCAAGCGGCCAAGCGAAAGCGUUAAGUAUUCCACCUGGGGAGUACGCCGGCAACGGUGAAACUCAAAGGAAUUGACGGGGGCCCGCACAAGCGGAGGAACAUGUGGUUUAAUUCGAUGAUACGCGAGGAACCUUACCCGGGCUUAAAUUGCAGAUGAAUUACGGUGAAAGCCGUAAGCCGCAAGGCAUCUGUGAAGGUGCUGCAUGGUUGUCGUCAGCUCGUGCCGUGAGGUGUCGGCUUAAGUGCCAUAACGAGCGCAACCCUUGUUGUCAGUUACUAACAGGUUCCGCUGAGGACUCUGACAAGACUGCCAUCGUAAGAUGUGAGGAAGGUGGGGAUGACGUCAAAUCGGCACGGCCCUUACGUCCGGGGCUACACACGUGUUACAAUGGGGGGUACAGAGGGCCGCUACCACGCGAGUGGAUGCCAAUCCCAAAAACCUCUCUCAGUUCGGACUGGAGUCUGCAACCCGACUCCACGAAGCUGGAUUCGCUAGUAAUCGCGCAUCAGCCACGGCGCGGUGAAUACGUUCCCGGGCCUUGUACACACCGCCCGUCAAGCCAUGGGAGCCGGGGGUACCUGAAGUGCGUAACCGCGAGGAGCGCCCUAGGGUAAA